rnacentral:rRNA from 1 species
GACGAACGCUGGCGGCGUGCUUAACACAUGCAAGUCGAACGGAAAGGCCCUGCUUUUGUGGGGUGCUCGAGUGGCGAACGGGUGAGUAACACGUGAGUAACCUGCCCUUGACUUUGGGAUAACUUCAGGAAACUGGGGCUAAUACCGGAUAGGAGCUCCUGCUGCAUGGUGGGGGUUGGAAAGUUUCGGCGGUUGGGGAUGGACUCGUGGCUUGUCAGCUUGUUGGUGGGGUAGUGGCUUACCAAGGCUUUGACGGGUAGCCGUCCUGAGAGGGUGACCGGCCACAUUGGGACUGAGAUACGGCCCGGACUCCUACGGGAGGCAGCAGUGGGGAAUAUUGCACUAUGGGCGGAAGCCUGAUGCAGCAACGCCGCGUGCGGGAUGACGGCCUUCGGGUUGUAAUCCGCUUUCGCCUGUGACGAAGCGUGAGUGACGGUAAUGGGUAAAGAAGCACCGGCUAACUACGUG